GAGCCACUAGCUCAGGGGUAGAGCAUCUGACUUUUAAUCAGAGGGUCGAAGGUUCAAAUCCUUCGUGGCUCACCA
rnacentral:tRNA from 10 species